UUCUUUCUUCAGUCAAAUAUUUUUCUAAAUCUUCAAUUGAGUGUACGAGGAGUGAAAUUCAUUAAUAGAAUGUUCUGACUGUAACUCCUUCUGAUUAUUAUACUUUAUAUGAUGAUCAUUGUUAUUCAAAUAUAUUGGUAGGUUUUCAAUGAGAUUAGCUCCAGAGAUAUGGAGAGGAUAAAUGUGUUUGAAGGUAUAUUGAAGAAUUAUGUGUUCGUAGCUGUGCUCACUUGCACUGUGGUCUUCCAAAUUAUUAUUGUUGAAUUUUUGGGCACCUAUGCAAACACAUCUCCACUUAGUUUGAAGCAGUGGUUCGGUAGCGUUCUCUUUGGAGUCUUUGGCAUGCCAAUUGCGGCAGCUCUAAAGAUGAUCCCCGUGGGAUCUGUCUAAAAUCAAUGCAGACAAAUUAGUUAGCCAGGAAAAUUUGUGGAUGCCCAUUAUUUUUUGAAGACCAGAAGGGCAAUGCCCAGGAGUAAAAAGUGCUUCCAUUCAAUCCUAAAGAAGCAGUGAUGGCUGCACACAAACUUUGGCUUCUCAGAGUUUUCAGGUACUCGAUGGAUCGGAGUUCAGUAGGUCUGUUAUAAGAGAAUUGCAUUUGCUCUAGUUCUGCACAAUGUACAUUGUUCUGUGAAUUGGGCAGCUCCCUCUGUAGUUCCUAAAGAAGGUUUGAUGUCUUUUCUUCGGUACUCAUAAUUUAGUGUUGAGGCCGUUGGAACAAAAUUAUUUUAUUGUUUGAAACUAGUACCUGGUCAAGAUUUUAA